rnacentral:lncRNA from 1 species
GGAGCUUAGAUAACUGCAUAAAACAUUGCAUUCUAUUCUGCAGAGACCCAGAAUCAAUCAUCCUUUAUAAAUUCAUCUCUUAGAAAUAAAGCACAUUAUUCAGUCAUUUAUCAGGAUUACCAUAAGAUGAGUGAUGGACGUUAUACAGAAGUAUUCAUUUUUAAUGAUGUCCUACCUUUGAAGAAACAGUCCUUGCUGUGGAUAAUGUAGAUUUUCUUCCUCUGCAGACAUGAGGCUCGAUGUAACUGACAGUGAUUUUCAUAAAACUUGCCAUCAGAUCCACACACCGGCAUGUAGCUGGACUUGCAGUCUUCUACACACCUGCACUCAGGCUGGUUGGUGUCCCUGUUCACCACACACCUACUCCCUCGGCCGCAGUAUUUCUUCUCACACGAUGCAUGCAGGCCAUCCUGACCAUAAAGUACUUUUCUUCUUGUGACUUCAAACCUUCCGGAUACCUCUUGGUGCAGCCUCCCCAGGUCUGAGUGUGGCCUUCUGCUCCCAUCCAAG